GACGUAGGGCGCGAGCGUUGUCCGGAUUUAUUGGGCGUAAAGAGCUCGUAGGCGGCUUGUCGCGUCGAAUGUGAAAUCCUGCGGCUCAACUGCAGGCUUGCAUUCGAUACGGGCAGGCUCGAGUUCGGUAGGGGAGACUGGAAUUCCUGGUGUAGCGGUGAAAUGCGCAGAUAUCAGGAGGAACACCGGUGGCGAAGGCGGGUCUCUGGGCCGAUACUGACGCUGAGGAGCGAAAGCGUGGGGAGCGAAUAGG
rnacentral:rRNA from 1 species